GGGAACCUCCUUAGAUGGUUCAUCAGAUAAACUAGAAUCUGACUCAGUCAUGAGACGUCAUGGAUACCUUGACCUUUUUUAAGCACACCUCUUCCUGUGAUCCCGAUAUUCCCGGUCUGACGAAGCACUUCGGCGCCAUAUGGUCCGUCACCAAGAGGACACCCCCGCUUGUAUCCCCUAAAGACUACAUGAAUAAAGUCUAAUCGCAACAAGAAGCCUGAUGUGGUAAAGUAUAAAGUACCAUAUAUACACAGUUUAUUCUGCUUCUGACCAUAUAUGAAAAAGGGAAACACAUGAUAAAAAUAAA